rnacentral:lncRNA from 1 species
CAAUAGAUAGCAAGAAGCUGGAUCAGUUCGUGGGUUCCGUGGAUGAAGGAGCUGUUGCUCGAUCGGUGGUUCGGUUACCUUCUUCUUGACAGGGCAAGCUGGAGCAAAAGAGCAUCUGAAGUACGCUCUCGGGCACGGGUUAUCUCUGGUAAUCUUCUGGCCAUAUUUCCUCCACUGAUACCCAUCUUUCACGAUCUGAGAACAGCACAGAGAUCUGUAAAUAACAAGUGAUUUGGGCAGGAAUCGAAGGAAAAGAUCGUGGUGAACUCACGAGGCUCGAAUCGGACGGAUCAGUGCGAACGUGCAGCUUCGAAACUUUGGGCUUAUUCUCUUCCUUGACUCGCUUGAACGAAUCCUCACUCGACGUGCUCUCCGCCUCGUUCCUGAUG